rnacentral:lncRNA from 1 species
UUUGGCCUUUCAAGUCAAAAGAAAAUGACUAGCAAUAGUUCUAUAUAUAUAUAUAUAAAACACCUUAGCCCAAUUAAUGAAGCAGUAGUUUAACUUAGUUUAAUUCAUUUGAUUAAGAAUGUACUAAAUUUGUAUCACUAAUUCACUAUAUACAAGCGAUAAUGGGAAGCCUAAAAUUAAUUAAUUUUAAUAUGGAAAGUUUUAAAUUAUAAUUUUACCACUAAAUUUGUUAAUGCUAACUGUUGAGUAAUGCGUAUGAUUUUUUUUUUCGCAAUUCUGGAAUGCUGGAA